rnacentral:ncRNA from 1 species
GACUACAAGCUAUGAAUGGGCGUGGGCUUCCCCUACAAUACCAAUGUCUGAGCAAAUCCCCCUUGGUCACGAGUUCUUUCUUCCUCUGUCUCUAUAUCAGGGUUUUGGCGCUCUACGCAGUCCUCCAACUACAAGCUACUAUGAAUGGGCACAGGCGCGGGUAGGGGGGGUUUAUUGUUUUGUGGAAUUUGAAUUUUUAUGUUUUUUUUUAUUUUUUUAGUAUGUUAUAAUAUAUAUAUAUAUACAACCUUUUAACAAUCAACUCGGAGAUGGUUCGGACGAGGGGAAUCUGACUAUUUAAUUAAAACAAAGAAUUGUGAUGGUCCCUCUCGAUCUUGAUGCAAUGUGAUUUCUGCCCAGUGCUUUGAAUGUUAAAGUGAAUAAAUUCAACCAAGCACGGGUAAACGGCGAGAGUAACUAUGACUCUCUUAAGAUAGCCAAACUCCUCGCCAUCUAAUUAGUGAUGCACAUGAAUGGAUUAACUAGAUUCCCACUAUCCCUAUCUACUAUCUAGCGAAACCACAACCAAGGGAAUGGGCUUGGCAUAAUCAACAGGGAAACAAGACCUUGUUGAGAUUGACUCUAGUCCAACUUUUUGAAAUGAAUUGAGAGUUGUACAAUGUGUGGGAAUUGUUUUCGGCACAAAUGAAAUACCACUACUUUUAACAUUAUUUUACUUAUAAUUUUGUGGGGCGGAGACAUGGCAAUUACCCUAUUUUUGGCCUUAAGUCGUGUUUCGAUGGGUCGAUAUGGGCGGAAGACAUUGCCAGGUGGGGAUUUUGGUUGGGGAAACAAAUCUAUUAAAAGAUAACAUAAAAUAUAAUGGUGUAUAUAGAACAUUUGUAUUUGGGAGAUCCUAGUGCACAACCACCCUUAUUACCUUUCCCUCCUAAUUUGUAGU